UCUCAUGUGUUCUAGUGGUUAGGAUUCCUGGCUGUCACCCAGGUGGCCCGGGUUCGAUUCCCGGCAUGGGAA
rnacentral:tRNA from 1 species